CACUUUAGUCUACUCUUUCGAGAGUAUAUAUGUCAUCUUGUUGGCAUAAAAGGAUGAAUUCUCAGUGCAAACUGUUAGUUUUUCCAACAAUUAUGGUGAUGUAUGGGAGAGGUAAGCAAUGAUGCAACUCUCCUUAGUGAGAUAAGCAAUGAUGCAAUGAGUGGUAGGUGAGAUUUGCACUUUUGGUCCCUAUCUCAAAACUAUAAAUACCCCCUUCCAUUUCAUUGUAUAACACACCAAAAAAAAAAUAUAUCAAAACUCAAGAAGAAAGAGUUUGAGAGGGAGAGAGAUAUAGUUCCUUUAGGAAUGUUUCCUAAGAGGGGAGUGACAAAAUAGUGAGUAGAAUACUAGUCGGGUAUUUUUCGGGAAACACUUUUGUGUGCGCCACUAUUUUGGGUAGAGCUCAGGAAUUGUUGUACCUCCAAAUUAUUGGGGAAGUCUCUCUUUGUAUGCCUGCUAAAUGUUUUAGUGGAAGUUGGUGUCGGAUUUGUGGACGUAGCCUAAACGUUUUAGGUGAACCACGUUAAAUAUUGUGUCAUUUAUUUUUGGUUUCGUUGAUCAUUUAUUUUAUUCCGCUGUGCAGUAGUGUUUAGUGCCACCGGGUCCUA